rnacentral:rRNA from 1 species
AUGCCGGUUCCAGCAAUUUUUGUGGCUGGUUGUAGCACCGCUGAUGCCUGGUUCCACCAAAAACUUCACCACACCAAAAAUCGCCGCCUCGUCGCAGCAUCGGGCUCAGCCGGUUCCAGCAUCCUCCGCCACGGUUCCAUCGUUUUGCCACCGUGGUUUGCAGCACCCGUCAGCGUGGUCACCGUGCCCGUGGUGGGCAACGCCAUGCUCGGCUGGUUGCAGCAUCGCUGGACGCCGUCUCCAGCACCAAUGGACGCCCCCGUCUCCAGCACCCGCUCCGCCACGCCGCCCCAAGGCCGCCGCCAUGCAGUGGUUAGCAGCGCCGCCCCCCGUCAAAGCCAUGAGCAUGGAGAAGGUGCAGGCCAUGUCCUCCCCCUGCCUUGCGCGAUGACGGGACGUGCUGCGUCACGUGGAGAUGGAGACCGGCCGAGUGUUGCGCCGGCAUUUCCCUUAGAGUUUUUCGUGUCAACUGCUUUUGGCGGGUCGUUCCCCAUGCGCUGCGCGCGUCGUGCGUUGUGGGGACAGCUGCCGAGGGGCCUCGAUGGCUCGUCCAAUCCCCUCUCGUCCCGACUCCCGAGGCUCGCGUCAGCCGCCUCGUCUCCAUCCCCGCUCAAUCCCCGCAGCUGCUGGAUCCAGAAAGAAAAUCCCCCAGCCGCCACACCCUUUCUUCUCCAUGGCUCGGCUCCCCUCCCGCGUGCGUCCCUGCGGCGCCUGUGUAUGGAUGAGGAGGUCGAGGGCACGAGCAAGGAUCAUGCCGAACAGGGGCGCAAUGGGGUGGCCGGGGAGCGCGCGGUGUCUGGAGAGACAAAGAUGCUCCUAAGCAGAGGACGGCGCAGCGCUGGCUUCUCCUCUCCCCCCGCUGCCUGCACACCUCGCCGAUGUCUGCUCGUCAUCCGGGAAGACUCUGAAGUGGCAAUAGGGGUUGGCGGAUGCUCCGAGACCAUAAAGAGCCUAUUCAAUGAUGAGAAGGAUGACAUGGCGAAGGAGGAUUCCGACAAGUUAGCCCCCACAAUCGGGCAGUUGGAGAGCUUGCACGAGCUUGAUCCAUGGACAUCGUCAGAGUGCUCAUUUUCUUGCAGUAUAUUAUUUUCAGAUCUCAUGUUUCUCAAGGCUUGCUCUCAGCACUCCUCUAGACAGGGAAAGCCGAUGACUCCAUAUAGGAGUUUAGAUUACUCUGAGAACUGCCGGUACCAUGCCAUCACGAACAAGAUUCUUGAUGUUGCUUAUGGUGCCCCUUUGGACUUCUUCUUCAAUGGUCCCACGCCGGCCCAAAUAAUAUAUGUCUUGCUUAUUUUUUGGUGCUCCUUCGGUUGGGCCUUUGGGCCACCCCUCUCUUCUAUUACAAAAAAAAGGGGGUUUACAGCAACUUGUGUCUUUAGGCUGAACAAAUACAUUCCAAAUGGAAAGGAGUACCCAGUUUUACCCAGAAAGUUGAGGCCUUCUGGUGGUUGA